UUGGGGCGUCGCCAAGUGGUAAGGCAUCGGUUUUUGGCACCGACAUUCGCAGGUUCGAAUCCUUCCGCCCCAGUC
rnacentral:tRNA from 1 species